AUAACGCUGGCGGCGUGCUUAACACAUGCAAGUCGAACGGGAUCCAUCAGGCUUUGCUUGGUGGUGAGAGUGGCGAACGGGUGAGUAAUGCGUGACCGACCUGCCCCAUACACCGGAAUAGCUCCUGGAAACGGGUGGUAAUGCCGGAUGCUCCAGUUGAUCGCAUGGUCUUCUGGGAAAGCUUUCGCGGUAUGGGAUGGGGUCGCGUCCUAUCAGCUUGACGGCGGGGUAACGGCCCACCGUGGCUUCGACGGGUAGCCGGCCUGAGAGGGCGACCGGCCACAUUGGGACUGAGAUACGGCCCAGACUCCUACGGGAGGCAGCAGUGGGGAAUAUUGCACAAUGGGCGCAAGCCUGAUGCAGCGACGCCGCGUGAGGGAUGGAGGCCUUCGGGUUGUAAACCUCUUUUAUCGGGGAGCAAGCGAGAGUGAGUUUACCCGUUGAAUAAGCACCGGCUAACUACGUGCCAGCAGCCGCGGUAAUACGUAGGGUGCAAGCGUUAUCCGGAAUUAUUGGGCGUAAAGGGGCUCGUAGGCGGUUCCGUCGCGUCCGGUGUGAAAGUCCAUCGCUUAACGGUGGAUCCGCGCCGGGUACGGGCGGGCUUGAGUGCGGUAGGGGGAGACUGGGAAAUCCCCG
rnacentral:rRNA from 1 species